UAUAGUUUUUAAGAAAUAAAAUUAAAAAAAUCAUGUAAUACUACAUCAGUGUUAUGUUAUUGUAUGACUUCAUCUUUUAUACAGUCGGGUUCGGGGUUUCGGGCAGCCAUAGCGAAUUUCGGCAAGAUUUUACCCCAGUGAAAAAGGCUUGUAAUCCACAGUGAUCAACCAAGAUGUUGUUUCACUGGGUUAUUUAAUUGGGCAUAUAAUUGGACAAUUCUGGAUCAGCUGAGAUGUAAUCAAUCACUGGAUUAUUUAAUGCAUAGGCUAAUUGGGCAUAUAGUUGAAAAUCUCUGGUAAGUUUGUCUUGUUUUUUUUUAAUUGUUUAUACAUUUCCUAUGAUGGUCAUCUUUGCAUUUAAGCAUGAUUAUAUGGUUAAUUUUAUUACUGUAUAAUACUUAUGUGAUCUGAUAUCUCUAACUUACAUUCAUAUAAACACACCCUUAUUUAACCUAAAAUAUAUUAACCCAUGAUUAAGGGAUCUUCAGAAUAUUAAUAAGUCCUUUUGUAUAAAUUAUAUGAUAUAAUUUCAUAAUUCAUUAUGUAUGUUACCCAUGGCCAUGGAAUUCAGACUUACUAAAUGGUGAUCAAAGAGAUAUUAAUUAGGAAUCUAAUAAGAGAAAAGGAAGAAUUUACAAAAGAUUAAUCACAAUAGUUAUUUACUUUUUGUUUUGAUUCUAAAUAUGUGGGAUAUAUGGCAUACAUAUAUUUUCAUUUUCACUUUUGUUUCUUAGUAAUGAGCUUUUCAAAAAAUUAAGGACUACAUGUUGUACUUUGAUGAUGCUAAAAAAGAUGUAUUUUUCUGUAUGCAGUACUGACAGAUAUUAAA